GAUGAACGCUGGCGGCGUGCCUAAUACAUGCAAGUCGAGCGAACGGACGAGAAGCUUGCUUCUCUGAUGUUAGCGGCGGACGGGUGAGUAACACGUGGAUAACCUACCUAUAAGACUGGGAUAACUUCGGGAAACCGGAGCUAAUACCGGAUAAUAUUUUGAACCGCAUGGUUCAAAAGUGAAAGACGGUCUUGCUGUCACUUAUAGAUGGAUCCGCGCUGCAUUAGCUAGUUGGUAAGGUAACGGCUUACCAAGGCAACGAUGCAUAGCCGACCUGAGAGGGUGGUCGGCCACACUGGAACUGAGACACGGUCCAGACUCCUACGGGAGGCAGCAGUAGGGAAUCUUCCGCGAUGGGCGAAAGCCUGACGGAGCAACGCCGCGUGAGUGAUGAAGGUCUUCGGAUCGUAAAACUCUGUUAUUAGGGAAGAACAUAUGUGUAAGUAACUGUGCACAUCUUGACGGUACCUAAUCAGAAAGCCACGGCUAACUACGUG
rnacentral:rRNA from 1 species